AGGGCGUCUUCGAAGAUCCCCAGGCCUGCUCUUCCGUGGCCUGGAGAUUCAAAGCGACGCCCAGAACAAGCCCGCAGUCUGUCC